rnacentral:rRNA from 1 species
GACGUAGGGCGCGAGCGUUGUCCGGAUUUAUUGGGCGUAAAGAGCUCGUAGGCGGUGUGUCGCGUCGGCCGUGAAAACCUGCAGCUUAACUGUGGGCUUGCGGUCGAUACGGGCAUCACUGGAGUUCGGCAGGGGAGACUGGAAUUCCUGGUGUAGCGGUGAAAUGCGCAGAUAUCAGGAGGAACACCGGUGGCGAAGGCGGGUCUCUGG